CUCUUGAAUACCUCAUCAACACCGCAGGUGACCCGGAGCCCGCUGCUCCGCUCGGCCCCGCCCCGGGCAGCUAUUUGGCACAUUUCAAUUAGCGUAACGGGUGCCUGGUAAACAGCCGAGGCCGGCUGCGGGCACCUGCAAUCCCCGACCCCCGACGCCCUCCCCGAGACCCUGGAGACGCGGCUCCGCCCCCACCGGUAAUUAGGAGAUUUUCAAGGCCUAUGUCCCCAAAGCCCAGCCCAGCUGGAGAGAUCAGCCCUGCGGUCCUGCCGCGCACUCCACCGCCAGCCUCUCGGGAGUCAAGGGAUCCGCCUUCAGGGUGAAUUGGGGUUCCACCAUGUCACCCUCAUGGAGCUUUCGUUAGCCUUGUUUGGGAUACAAAGGGGUAAGUGUCCCCUCAUUUUAGAGAAAGAUCAAGAGCCAGUGAACAGGAUUUCCCAGCCAGGGACAUGGAGCAGGGCACCUGCAGAUGGUCCACGUGCUCUUGGCUGAUGGCAGCCCACCUCCGGGAGGGGCCUGUGCACCUUUCUCCCAGGAGGAGGGAAGGACCCAAUCAUUAUCCAGAGUCAACGCAGGGACUUCCUUUGGGCGGCUUGGAGCAGACAGCACCCAGCUCUGCAGACCUGAGCACCCCAUGUGCCCCAAGUGACAUGGAGCA
rnacentral:lncRNA from 10 species